rnacentral:tRNA from 1 species
AAUAAGAUGCCUGAUCAAUAGGACUAUUUUGAUAGAAUAGAAUAUGUAUUUUUAUACUCUUAUUA